rnacentral:tRNA from 1 species
AGAGUAUUCAAAUUUUAGGAUGUUGGUCUUUUUUUCUUACUUCAAUAUUAUAUUUUAACUCACCCAAUAGCUCAGUUCUUACUACUGAACUCCGUGGCUAUUAUUAUAGUCCCUUAGCUCAGUUGGUUAGAGCGCUACACUGAUAAUGUAGAGGUCCGCAGUUCAAAUCUGCGAGGGACUACGCUAGGGGGAUUAGCUCAGCUGGCUAGAGCGCCUGCCUUGCACGCAGGAGGUCAUCGGUUCGACUCCGAUAUUCUCCACUAAACUCAAAUGAGUUGAAGUUCUUUGACGUAUUUCAAUAUUAAUAAUCAUAAAAAGUACAUAACAAAUUGUUACUUAUU